GACCGUGGUUGCGUUCAUCUCGUCGAGACGAACCCAUUUUGCUAUUCAUAUGUCCGUUCCGGGCACUUUGAGACCCGUAGCGAGCCCAAUAAAUUUAGACCGUUCGUUGUUUAAAAAAUAAAAAAUAAAAAAAAAGAGAGAAGAGAUAAAGCUCCGGUCGUCACUCGAUCCAUCCAGAGGUUUCGAGCGCUCGCGUCUCUUUUUUCUUCUCUCUCUCUCAGUGUGUCGCGCGCCCAAGCUCAUCGUUGUGCUCUGCGCCGAGCUCCCGCCGCCGCCUUGCCGCUGCUCGCCGCGCCGCUGCGCCGCGCCACCACCUGCCGUGCGCCGUCGUCGCGCUGGGCCGGCUCUGCGCCGUCGCGCCAGGCUGUGCGUCCUGCCGCCUCUGCGCUGAGCUGCUGCUGCCGCCGGUGCUGCGCGCUGCCGUGCCUCUGUGCUAAUCGCUGUGUGAAGGAGCAGCAGCAGCCGCCAGCCAGCCGGCCGAAGUAGCCAGCUGACCGAUCGAAGAAGCAAGCAGCCAGCGCAGGAAGAAGCCAGGAAAAAGAAAAGGGAAGAAAAAAAAAGAGAAAAGAAAAAAAAGGGGGAAAGUUGGAAAUUUCGGAAUUUCGUCGGAUUCGUCGUCAAUCUUUCGAAGGCGAUUUCUCGGUAUGUUUAGAUGUUGACGUGCAUUUUGGGGAUGGAUCUUGGUAGCUGCACACACUACCUCAUCACCAUGUUGAUAGCUCAACCGGUGUUAUAAAUGGUGUUUUUGGUGGUCUGUCGUUUGCUUGGUUCAUGUUGUGGUAGACGCUGGUAGCGUCAUAACGGUUUCUAUAUAGGCUGGUUAUAUCUGAUUCUGUCUGCCUGAGAUAUUUCUUUUGGUCAGUUAUACCUCUCUAUAGAGGAAAUGCUGCCAAAAUAUCCUAUUUUCAUAUAAAUAGGCUGAGUUGUAAAGUAGGGUGUUACAGCUUGGUAUCAGAGCCUAGGCUUUAGGUCCUAGGUAAUUGAAUGAUGAACCUGACACACUUGCACAAAUAGAAUGGGUAUGGGAUGCAUUGCAUUGCACACGUCUUGUUUA